AACAACACACAACAUUCCAGGAAUGUACUACCAAAGUUCUAUCAAUAUUUGAAUGUCCUGGACAUUUAGGGAACAUUCGGUGAACAUCUGUUUAAAUUAUUCCUGGAAUGUUACCAUAAGACAUUCUGUGAACAUACUACCAAUGUUCCUAUAUUUUAAGUUGCGAAAUAAUACAUACGUGUAACAGAAACAACAUUACUUAUAACAUACCAGACAAACUAAGUGACACUUUAGGCCUACAGUGCAAUAAUAUGUCAAAUUUAAAGAGUUUCCCAAGUUCAAUUAAUACAAUAUUAUAAACAUACAAAUGUAAUAAAAAUUAUUGUUCGCGAAUAUUCAAUUUGGAAUGCGAUUUUGUUAAUAAAAAAAAUACUUAUAACUUAUGCAAAACCCAAGAGAGGCAUUUAUAUUUAUUUCUUUUGCGUUCAUUUUCAAAUUCGCCGUGCAUAUAUUUUUGUGCAUGGCGCUUGAGAGGGCAUCACGUGACUAAAAACGAAACGACCAACCAACGACCUCGCUUCGGCCAUCUUGGCAUCUUCAUCUUGGCCACCUUGCUAAGCCUUGAUUUGCGGUGGGUGGAUCGUUUGUAUUAUUUGUGCUUUUUAAGAAUAUUUUUUUAAUUCGGAUACUUUUAUAAUAGCUUUAAUAGUAUUAUUAACAUAGUGAAUAAAAUGGUGUCCUGUUUUUAACGCAGUUGGAGUAGCAGAAACAAAUGUAGAUAAAAAAAUCUGCAGGAAUAACGUUUCAAUUAUGACAGAAGCUCCAAACAAAUGACUGUGAAUGAAAAGCCCUAUUAAAAGCUUUCCAGAAGAUCCUGCGAAGAAGACAUGAAGUAUAGAUCAGAUUUGUUAAUAGAGGAGUAUGUUCAAAACACUUUUUAGAAAAAGAUAUUGACAGAACUUCACUUUCAUCUGUUCGUUUAAGAGACUGUGCUGUUCCAAUAGCUUAUGUCACACAGAAUCAGCUGAGAGAAGUGGUCUACAAAAAACCAGAAAGGAAACGGAAUAUGUGGCUACGAAAAGCAAAAGAAAGGUUUACAAAGCAAAUGUGACACAUUUUUUUAUAAUAUUUAGGAAUGUCAGUAAAUUACAUUAAAAAAUGUAUGUAAAGAUUUUUUGCAAUAAAAAUGUUUAUAUUUA